UACGUAGGGGGCAAGCGUUGUUCGGAAUUACUGGGCGUAAAGCGCGCGCAGGCGGCUAUCCAAGUCAGUGGUGAAAGCCCGGAGCUCAACUCCGGAACUGCCAUUGAAACUGUUUAGCUUGAGGAUGAGAGAGGUGAGUGGAAUUCCCAGUGUAGAGGUGAAAUUCGUAGAUAUUCGGAAGAACACCAGUGGCGAAGGCGACUCGCUGGACAAGUAUUGACGCUGAGGUGCGAAAGCGUGGGGAGCAAACAGG
rnacentral:rRNA from 1 species